AAUAGGUAUGCUUAGGGAGGAGCUUGCGUCACAUUAGUUAGUUGGUGGGGUAAAGGCCUACCAAGACUAUGAUGUGUAGCCGGGCUGAGAGGUUGAACGGCCACAUUGGGACUGAGACACGGCCCAAACUCCUACGGGAGGCAGCAGUAGGGAAUUUUCGGCAAUGGAGGAAACUCUGACCGAGCAACGCCGCGUGAACGAUGAAGUAUUUCGGUACGUAAAGUUCUUUUAUUAGGGAAGAAUAAAUGAUGGAAAAAUCAUUCUGACGGUACCUAAUGAAUAAGCCCCGGCUAACUAUGUGCCAGCAGCCGCGGUAAUACAUAGGGGGCAAGCGUUAUCCGGAAUUAUUGGGCGUAAAGGGUGCGUAGGCGGUUAAAUAAGUUUAUGGUCUAAGUGCAAUGCUCAACAUUGUGAUGCUAUAAAAACUGUUUAGCUAGAGUAAGAUAGAGGCAAGUGGAAUUCCAUGUGUAGUGGUAAAAUGCGUAAAUAUAUGGAGGAACACCAGUAGCGAAGGCGGCUUGCUGGGUCUUUACUGACGCUGAGGCACGAAAGCGUGGGGAGCAAACAGGAUUAGAUACCCUGGUAGUCCACGCCGUAAACGAUGAGUACUAAACGUUGGGUAAAACCAGUGUUGAAGUUAACACAUUAAGUACUCCGCCUGAGUAGUACGUACGCAAGUAUGAAACUUAAAGGAAUUGACGGGACUCCGCACAAGCGGUGGAUCAUGUUGUUUAAUUCGAAGGUACCCGAAAAACCUCACCAGGUCUUGACAUGCUUCUGCAAAGCUGUAGAAACACAGUGGAGGUUAUCAGUUGCACAGGUGGUGCAUGGUUGUCGUCAGCUCGUGUCGUGAGAUGUUGGGUUAAGUCCCGCAACGAGCGCAACCCUUAUUGUUAGUUACCAGCACGUAAUGGUGGGGACUUUAGCAAGACUGCCAGUGAUAAAUUGGAGGAAGGUGGGGACGACGUCAAAUCAUCAUGCCCCUUAUGACCUGGGCUACAAACGUGAUACAAUGGCUGUUACAAAGGGUAGCUGAAGCGCAAGUUUUUGGCGAAUCUCAAAAAAACAGUCUC
rnacentral:rRNA from 1 species